rnacentral:rRNA from 1 species
UACGUAGGUGGCAAGCGUUGUCCGGAUUUAUUGGGCGUAAAGCGAGCGCAGGCGGUUUCUUAAGUCUGAUGUGAAAGCCCCCGGCUCAACCGGGGAGGGUCAUUGGAAACUGGGAGACUUGAGUGCAGAAGAGGAGAGUGGAAUUCCAUGUGUAGCGGUGAAAUGCGUAGAUAUAUGGAGGAACACCAGGUGGCGAAGGCGGCUCUCUGGUCUGUAACUGACGCUGAGGCUCGAAAGCGUGGGGAGCGAACAGG